rnacentral:rRNA from 1 species
GUGGAUUAGAUACCCUGGUAGUCCAGACCGUAAACGGUGGGCGCUAGUUGUGGGAACCUUCCACGGUUUCUGCGACGCAGCUAACGCAUUAAGCGCCCCGCCUGGGGAGUACGAUCGCAAGAUUAAAACUCAAAGGAAUUGACGGGGCCCCGCACAAGCAGCGGAGCAUGCGGCUUAAUUCGACGCAACGCGAAGAACCUUACCAAGGCUUGACAUAUAGAGAAAAGCAAUAGAGAUAUUGUGUCCGCAAGGGCUUUAUACAGGUGGUGCAUGGUUGUCGACAGCU